rnacentral:sRNA from 1 species
AUGAAAUCUCAAGGUCAACAUUGGUGUUCCAGUUCAGAUAAAAACUGUAAAGUGAGCUUUCGUGAGAAGCUUCUGAUUAUUGAUUCAAACCUGGGGGUCCAAGAUGUGGAGAACCUCAAGUUUCUCUGCAUAGGAUUGGUCCCCAACAAGAAGCUGGAGAAGUCCAGCUCAGCCUCGGAUGUUUUUGAACAUCUCUUGGCAGAGGAUCUGCUGAGUGAGGACGACCCUUUCUUCCUGGCAGAACUCCUCUAUAUCAUACGGCAGAAGAAGCUGCUGCAGCACCUCAACUAUACCAAAGAGGAAGUGGAGCGACUGCUGCCCACCCGACAACGGGUUUCUCUGUUUAGAAACCUGCUCUACGAACUGUCAGAAGGCAUUGACUCAGAGAACUUAAAGGACAUGAUCUUCCUUCUGAAAGACUCGCUUCCCAAAACUGAAAUGACCUCCCUAAGUUUCCUGGCAUUUCUAGAGAAACAAGGUAAAAUAGAUGAAGAUAAUCUGACAUGCCUGGAGGACCUCUGCACAACAGUUGUACCUAAACUUUUGAGAAACAUAGAGAAAUACAAAAGAGAGAAAGCUGUCCAGAUAGUGACACCUCCUGUAGACAAGGAAGCCGAGUCGUAUCAAGGAGAGGAAGAACUAGUUUCCCAAACAGACGUUAAGACAUUCUUGGAAGCCUUACCGCAGGAGUCCUGGCAAAAUAAGCAUGCAGGUAGUAAUGAGGGCAACUGUGUACAGGAUGAAUCGGAACCACAGAGGCCUCUGUGUCAUUGUCAACAACCACAGCUUUACCUCCCUGAAGGACAGACAAGGAACCCAUAAAGAUGCUGAGAUCCUGAGUCAUGUGUUCCAGUGGCUUGGGUUCACAGUGCAUAUACACAAUAAUGUGACGAAAGUGGAAAUGGAGGAGGUCCUGCAGAGGCAGAAGUGCAAUCCAGCCCAUGCCGACGGGGACUGCUUCGUGUUCUGUAUUCUGACCCAUGGGAGAUUUGGAGCUGUCUACUCUUCAGAUGAGGCCCUCAUUCCCAUUCGGGAGAUCAUGUCUCACUUCACAGCCCUGCAGUGCCCUAGACUGGCUGAAAAACCUAAACUCUUUUUCAUCCAGGCCUGCCAAGGUGAAGAGAUACAGCCUUCCGUAUCCAUCGAAGCAGAUGCUCUGAACCCUGAGAAGGCACCCACUUCCCUGCAGGACAGUAUUCCUGCCGAGGCUGACUUCCUACUUGGUCUGGCCACUGUCCCAGGCUAUGUAUCCUUUCGGCAUGUGGAGGAAGGCAGCUGGUAUAUUCAGUCUCUGUGUAAUCAUCUGAAGAAAUUGGUCCCAAGACAUGAAGACAUCUUAUCCAUCCUCACUGCUGUCAACGAUGAUGUGAGUCGAAGAGUGGACAAACAGGGAACAAAGAAACAGAUGCCCCAGCCUGCUUUCACACUAAGGAAAAAACUAGUAUUCCCUGUGCCCCUGGAUGCACUUUCAUUAUAA